GACGAACGCUGGCGGCGUGCUUAACACAUGCAAGUCGAACGGAAAGGCCCUGCCUUUCUGGGGUGCACGAGUGGCGAACGGGUGAGUAACACGUGAGUAACCUGCCCCGUACUUUGGGAUAACUCCAGGAAACUGGGGCUAAUACCGGAUACGACCUCCUGCUGCAUGGUUGGGGUUGAAAAGUUUCGGCGGGUGGGGAUGGACGCGCGGCUUAUCAGCUUGUUGGUGGGGUAGUGGCUUACCAAGGCUUUGGCGGGUAGCCGGCCUGAGAGGGUGACCGGCCACAUUGGGACUGAGACACGGCCCAGACUCCUACGGGAGGCAGCAGUGGGGAAUAUUGCACAAUGGGCGGAAGCCUGAUGCAGCAACGCCGCGUGCGGGAUGACGGCCUUCGGGUUGUAAACUGCUUUCGCCAGUGACGAAGCGUGAGUGACGUUAGUUGGUAAAGAAGCACCGGCUAACUACGUG
rnacentral:rRNA from 1 species